CGGAUCAAUGGAGAGGAAGUGUGGACAAAAAUGAAUACAACUCUUACAAAUCUGUUCCAAGAGUAUUUUAAGUUAUAUGGUCCAACUGAGCAAGAAGUGCAGCCUGAUGAUGCACCUAGCUUUGAAGAGGACAGCAGCGAAAGCUUGAUGAGUUCCUUGAUUGCAAAGAGAAUGAGAAUGAAUGACUGUGGAAUCAGCAUUAGCCCUUCGAAGUCUGAACUUGAAAAGUAUCUUACAGAGGAUAAUGAAGCAAACAACAGCAAAUUCAACAUUCUUGAGUGGUGGAAGGUCAACUCAUCUAGAUUCCCUGUGCUAUCACGUUUAGCUCGUGAUGUCCUAGCUUUCCCGAUAUCUACAGUC
rnacentral:rRNA from 1 species